rnacentral:lncRNA from 1 species
AUGUCACUCGAAGAGGUAAGGGUACUGGGCCAGCAUCUGCUCCUCGAGUUCCGAAGUGGCUUCUUUUGGCCAAUACUUCAUACUCUUGACUGGUUGUAUGACUGGAGAAUAAACUCUCAAAUAAGCCUCUGGUGUGUAACAUUUAUCCACAAAUUGUUCAGCUUCUUGCCUAUUAUGGAAUAUAGCAGAAACUGCAUGCAUGCAGGGUAUUCCAUUGAGCUCCCACCUCCUGCAACUACAAGUUCUGGUCCACAAAUUCACAGAAUGUUGAUCAACUAAUGUGUCCCCCACUUGGAACAAUCCAUUGCCACAAUACAUUGGUCUAA